rnacentral:rRNA from 1 species
GACGAACGCUGGCGGCGUGCUUAACACAUGCAAGUCGAACGGAAAGGCCCCUUUGGGGGUACUCGAGUGGCGAACGGGUGAGUAACACGUGAGUAACCUGCCCUUGACUUCGUGAUAACUUCAGGAAACUGGGGCUAAUACCGGAUAGGAAUCCUUGCUGCAUGGUGGGGGUUGGAAAGCUUCGGCGGUUUUGGAUGGACUCGCGGCUUAUCAGCUUGUUGGUGGGGUAGUGGCUUACCAAGGCUUUGACGGGUAGCCGGCCUGAGAGGGCGACCGGCCACAUUGGGACUGAGAUACGGCCCAGACUCCUACGGGAGGCAGCAGUGGGGAAUAUUGCACAAUGGGCGGAAGCCUGAUGCAGCAACGCCGCGUGCGGGAUGACGGCCUUCGGGUUGUAAACCGCUUUCAGCAGGGGCGAAGCUUGUGGUGACGGUACCUGAAGAAGAAGCACCGGCUAACUACGUG